rnacentral:misc_RNA from 1 species
GAUGAAGAACGUAGCGAAAUGCGAUAAGUAGUGUGAAUUGCAGAAUUCAGUGAAUCAUCGAAUCUUUGAACGCACAUUGCGCCCCUUGGUAUCCCGAGGGGCAUGCCUGUUCGAGCGUCAUUUCACCACUCAAGCCUGGCUUGGUGUUGGGCGACGUCCUCUUUGGGGACGCGCCUCGAAACGCUCGGCGACAUGGCACCGGCUUUAAGCGUAGCAGAAUCUUUCGCUUUGGAAGUCGGGGCCCCGUCUGCCGGAAGACCUGCUCGCAAGGUUGACCUCGGAUCAGGCAGGGAUACCCGCUGAACUUAAGCAUAUCAAUAAGCGGAGGA